AGUCCGCCGUCCGCGGGGAGGCAGCCCAGGCGCGCACGACCCCCUCGAACACACCCCGGCCCCGCGCACCUGCUCCUCAUCGUGUCCGGAUGCGCAGGCGCCUGGGACCAGCGGAACAAGCCGGGGAGGGCUUGUUCGGCCACAAAGUUGGUUGCCGGGGUGGGGAGAAUGUGCUGGAUUACCCACCCACGAGCCAGGAGUCGGGGUGGGAGGAAUCAGCCUUCCUCCAGGACGGCGCAGCCCACCGGGCGCCUGCUAAGUGCCCAGCACUGACCUCACCUUUAGAAAAGAAAUCUACCUAUGCCACGAUGCGGAGUGAGUGCCGCUCCGCAAAAGCCAGUGCUUUAGAACUGCAGGGCCUGGUUCAAAUCUAGCUAGGUUGCUUACUGUUAUGUAAUUCUUUCCUUCUUUCUCUUUUUUCUUUUUCUUCUUUUUCUUUUUUUUUUUUUUUUUUUUUUUUUUUUGAGACAGAGUCUCGCUCUGUUGCCAGGCUGGAGUGCAGUGGCGUGAUCUCGGCUCACUGCAACCUCCGCCUCCCGGGUUCAAGCUAUUCUCCUGCCUCAGCCUCCCAAGUAGCUGAAACUACAGGCGCACACCACCACGCCUGGCUAAUUUUUGUAUUUUUAGUAGAGACGGGGUUUCGCCAUAUUGGCCAGGCUGGUCUUGAACUCCUGACCUCGUGAUCCACCCUCCUCGGCCUCCCAAAGUGCUGGGAUUACAGGCGUGAGCCACUGCGCCCGACCUGUAAUUUUUCUUUUCUGUUUUUUAGAGACAGGGUCUCGCUCUGUCACCCAGGCUAGAGUUCAGUGGCGCUGUCGGCUCACUGCAGCCUCCAACUCCUGGGCUCAAGUGCUGCUGCCAUCUCAGCCUCCUCAGUAGCUGGGACUACAGGUACACGCCACCACGCCCAACAGUGACAGGUUGGACACUACUGUACUGCCACGCUGGGUCGGGCAUACUAAUAAGCCCAGGGAAGAAGAGUCAGACCCAGUGCCAGCGCAGGGGAAACGCAUCUAAUCCAGAACAGCAGACACAGCUCCUCUCCCAUGGAACACCCAGAGCAGACAUUGCCAGUCGAUCCCAGCACCCUUUCCCCGGGAGCCUGGGCUCAGCCUCAAGACUUUGCUUCCGCUUCACAAAGCUCUGCACAGCCAGUUCUCAUCAAUUGGAGUUGGUCCAAAAUAUGGAAACUCUUUGCUCUGCCUGACCCAAACCAUUCCUCUUUCCCAUAACAAUUCUGACAUUUAAAAACAGCAGAAUUCCCCAACACUCAUCCCCGGGAAAAGAAAUUUGGCAUUGUUGGUACUUUCAACUCCUGACCCUGGUCAGCUGUUGAGUCAACUUGUGGUUGAGUCUGAGCCCCAUUUCUGCAGACAGAAAGACCGCAUUUGCGUUUCUGAGUCUCAGGUUUAGGAUGAAUUUUGUAUAGUCACUGUAACAAAUUACUGCAAACGUAGUGGCUUAAAAUAAAACAAAUCCAUUAGCUUACAAUUCCAGAGAUUAAAAGUCCAAAAUGAAUCUUUAAAAAAUUUUUAAUUUAGUUUUAUUUUUUAAUUUUCCUUUUUUUUGAGACAGAGUCUCACUCUGUCGCCCAGGCUGGAGUGCAGUGGCACGAUCUUGGCUCACUGCAACCUCCACCUCCCGGGUUCAAGGGAUUCUAGUGCCUCAGCCUCCCAAAGUGCUGAAAUUAUAGGCAUAAGCCACCACGCCUGGCCCAAAAUGAAUCUUACAGGCCUGAAAUCAAGACGUCAGCAGGGUGAUGUUCCUUUUUUGUUGUUGUUUCG
rnacentral:lncRNA from 1 species